AGCGCUGGGCGUGACCGAGCGAAUGGUGGGCCGCCCAUCGUGAAUGGAGCACGGGGAGUGUCGUCCAAACAGGGAGCCGUCACCCUGGAGGUCAGGAACGCAGCUGGGUAAACACAGCCGUUUCCACAGCAACUGCCGACAAUGACACAAACCAGACGCUCCAAGUACUCGGCCCUGACCAGAGCGAUGCGUUUGCUGCCCUGGCGGCGGCCGCGCGGCGGAGCACCCCGGGCUGCAGUGUAAGGUGUCAAGAGAACACCUGUGUGCUAACCAGUGAAUGUUUGCGCAAUUUGGCGAGUGCCACUUAGGUGCUGGCAUUUUCCUCUUGUCCCAGGCAGGAAACACGGCCGCAGGGACCGUUAGGAGUGCCUGUGACGGGUGUCAAAUACAGACGUGACUUUG